rnacentral:rRNA from 1 species
GAUGAACGCUGGCGGCGUGCCUAAUACAUGCAAGUCGAACGAACACAUGAGGUGCUUGCUCCUCUCACGCUAGCGGCGAACGGGUGAGUAACACGUGGGUAACCUGCCUAUAAGACUGGGAUAACUUCCGGAAACCGGAGCUAAUACCGGAUAAUAUAUUGAACCGCAUGGUUCAAUGGUGAAAAGCGGUGUUGCUUUCACCUAUUGAUUGAUCCGGGGCUGCUUAGCGAGUUGGUAAGGUAACGGCCUACCAAGGCAACGAUGCGUAACCGACCUGAGAGGGUGAUCGGCCAAACUGGAACUGAGACACGGUCCAGACGCCUAAGGGAGGCAGCAGUAGGGAAUCUUCCGCAAAGGGCGAAAGCCUGACGGAGCAACGCCGCGUGAGUGAUGAAGGUCUUCGGAUCGUAAAACUCUGUUAUUAGGGAAGAACAAAUGUGUAAGUAACUAUGCACGUCUUGACGGUACAUAAUCAGAAAGCCACGGCUAACUACGUG